UACGACUACAUAUCAGGCAUAUCAAUAAGCGGAGGAAAAGAAACUAACAAGGAUUCCCCUUAGUAACGGCGAGUGAAGCGGGAAGAGCUCAAAUUUGAAAUCUUCAAGGUUCUACCUUGACGAAUUGUAGUUUAAAGAAGUGUUUUCUGUUAGAUGAGUAGCAAAAGUUCCUUGGAAUGGGACAUCAUAGAGGGUGAGAAUCCCGUAUUUGGUUAUUCAUUCUAGCUUUGUGAUACACUUUCAAAGAGUCGGAUUGUUUGGGAAUGCAGUCCAAAAUGGGUGGUAAAUUUCAUCUAAAGCUAAAUAUUGGCGAGAGACCGAUAGCGAACAAGUACCGUGAGGGAAAGAUGAAAAGAACUUUGAAAAGAGAGUUAAACAGUACGUGAAAUUGUCAAAAGGGAAGCGUUUGACACCAGUGUUGUUUUUCCGAAAAUCAAUUACGAAUGGCUUGAUUUUGUGUUGUAUUGACCUUAUCAGCUUUCUUCACUUUUUUCGAGUCUUUCUUAAUGCACUUUUCGGUUAACAAGUCAACAUCAAUUUCUUUUGUUGUAAAAGAGUAUUCGGAAGGUGGCUUUCUUUUCGGAGAGAGUGUUUAUAGCCCUAUACUUCUACAAUCGGAGAGAUUGAGGUCCGCAGCGUAGAUCCUUCGGGGUUAGAUACAUUUGUGCUAAGCUGUAGCUUUUCAUAGACAACUUGUUGACUAUGUUUAGUCAUGCGGCUUACUCGCUUAUGCUAUUUUACCUACGCUUAGGAUGUUGAGUAGCGACAUACGCAC
rnacentral:rRNA from 1 species